GACGAACGCUGGCGGUGUGCUUAACACAUGCAAGUCGAACGGUAAGGCCCUUUCGGGGGUACACGAGUGGCGAACGGGUGAGUAACACGUGAGUAACCUGCCCUCAUCUCUGGGAUAACAGUCGGAAACGGUUGCUAAUACUGGAUAUGAGCCUGCAAGGCAUCUUGUGGGUUGGAAAGAUUUUUUGGUUGGGGAUGGACUCGCGGCCUAUCAGCUUGUUGGUGAGGUAGUGGCUCACCAAGGCUUCGACGGGUAGCCGGCCUGAGAGGGCGACCGGCCACAGUGGGACUGAGAUACGGCCCAAACUCCUACGGGAGGCAGCAGGGGGGAAUAUUGCACAAUGGACGGAAGUCUGAUGCAGCAACGCCGCGUGCGGGAUGACGGCCUUCGGGUUGUAAACCGCUUUCAAUUGUGACGAAGCUUUUUGUGACGGUAGCAGUAGAAGAAGCACCGGCUAACUACGUG
rnacentral:rRNA from 1 species